rnacentral:rRNA from 1 species
GAUAAACGCUGGCGGCGUGCAUGAGACAUGCAAGUCGAACGGACGAUCAGGGCUUGCUCUGAUCGUUAGUGGCGGACGGCUGAGUAACGCGUAGGUGACCUGCCUCGAAGUGGGGGAUAACUGCCCGAAAGGGUGGCUAAUACCGCAUGUGGUGGUUCGUUCAGUCGAACCAUCAAAGCAGUAAUGCGCUUCGAGAGGGGCCUGCGUCCGAUUAGCUCGNGGUGGGGUAACGGCUCACCAAGGCGACGAUCGGUAGGUGGUCUGAGAGGACGAUCACCCAGACUGGGACUGAGACACGGCCCAGACUCCUACGGGAGGCAGCAGUCGGGAAUUUUGCGCAAAUGGGCGAAAAGCCUGACGCAGCGACGCCGCGUGAGGGAUGACGGCC